rnacentral:rRNA from 1 species
ACCUAACAGGGCGCAGCCCUGCUCCGCACUGCCGCGCUGCAGGACUGAAGGCCCCUCGGGCCGAAACCGCCCCCGUACGGAGCGAAAAGGCCCCCACCAAUACUGGGGGCCCAUGACGGUACCGUAAGAAUAAGCACCGGCUAACCACGCGCCAGCAGCCGCGGUAAUACGCAGGGUGCAAGCGCUAAUCGGAAUCACUGGGCGUAAAGCGUGCGCAGGCGGUUAUGUAAGACAGAUGUGAAAUCCCCGGGCUCAACCUGGGAACUGCAUUCAAAACUGACUGACUAGAGUAUGGUAGAGGGUGGUGGAAUCUCCUGUGUAGCGGUGAAAUGCGGAGAUAUAGGAAGGAACACCAGUGGCGAAGGCGACCACCUGGACUAAUACUGACACUGAGGUGCGAAAG